rnacentral:rRNA from 1 species
UACGGAGGGUGCAAGCGUUAUCCGGAUUCACUGGGUUUAAAGGGUGCGUAGGUGGGCAGGUAAGUCAGUGGUGAAAUCUCCGGGCUUAACUCGGAAACUGCCAUUGAUACUACCAGUCUUGAAUACAGUGGAGGUAAGCGGAAUGCGUCAUGUAGCGGUGAAAUGCUUAGAUAUGACGCAGAACACCAAUUGCGAAGGCAGCUUGCUACACUGUUAUUGACACUGAGGCACGAAAGCGUGGGGAUCAAACAGG